GGAAGUCAGGGGGCGUGGUCCUGCUGCCUCACGUAACUGGCUGUCUCUGGGGCACCAGCUUUCUUCUCCAUAAAAGGAGGAUACGUAAUGGCGUUCCUUCUGAAAAGGGUGGCUGAGUUCAGUUUCAAAGUCUGCACAUAAUAAGGCAAACGGCAGGUCAGAGAACUGAGGUUCAAAGAGGCAGGGCUGAGACAGGGGACGGCAACGCCUGUGUUCCUUCCCUAGCCCACAAGUCCUCCACAGGAGCAUGCCAGCCUCAGGAUGAUGGAUGCAAAGAAAAUGACGAGAUCCCAAGUCAGCCAGUAUGGAAUAGCCACUCUGCCGGGGAUAGAGCAAGGCACGCCUGCAUGCAUUCUAUUUAAAGAUUUUUUCCUCAUGAUUGAAAACCAAUGGAACUUACUGUUUGUAACCAUUGUAACCACUGUGGUAGUCUUUGAUGCGUUUUCAAAAUGUAAACAUAACAAAAUGCUUCUGCCUUUUGGAUUUAUUAGUUAAUAUGUCACAUCAAUAUAAGAUGCAUUUCCAUGUUUGUACCAGCAAGGAAUCAAUCAACCCUUACAAUGGUUUGGCAAUUAAGAAGAGCCUUGAUCUUCUCUCUGUAGCCCAAGAACUGAUGGUACUGAGAACCAAUGAGCAGAUCAAAAGCAGCAAAAGUGCUCAAGUCUACAAUCAGCAUGCAGCUGAACCUUUCAAAGACAUCUGUCUUCCCCAUCGUACAGAUUGGCUCCAUGCAGACUUAGAAAAGACCAUGUCCAAGUGUAAAUGUGAGUUAAACUUCAUCUGUGAAAGCAAUUACAUGAUGUGUUCUGAUUCUAUAUUCUUGUGCUGAAACAAAAGCAAUCUCAUCCCACCAGUGAGCUUAUUUUCAGUUUUUUGUUUUCAAUUCUCUUUUUGUUCCCUAAAAAAUGUAAAACAUGAGCUACUGAAGAGGGAAAGAGAGAGAGUAGAGCUGUCAGGUAUCUGCCUACAUGAUAUGAGUUAAGGGGAGCUUUAAUAUUCCCAAACCUGAAAUAUCUUUUGAACUGGAGGAGCUUCCUAAGGGUUGGAUGCUAUCAGAAUCCUGGUAUCCACCACCCUUUUAUUUGGGAAGGUGGGUCCAGGGAGUGAGAAAAGAUAUUUCAUU